AGGAGGUGAGGUCGCUGCUGUGAUCUCCUUCUGGUCAACUGUCCCUGCUCCGCAGAGAGCAGACCUGCCCCUCAUCUCCCAGCCCUGCAUCUGGCAUGUUUUCUCAACACCUCAGUGAAACAAGAAAGAACCAAGCCUGCCAGAAUCAAGACACUGAAAGCUCCUGCAGAGGGCAAGAGGCACUCCAGGAACAUCAUGGGGACACACUGCCUGCCACAUCCUCCCAGGUCCCUGAGCCCCACCACAAGCCAACCUUGGGACCCAAGCCUGCCCAGCCUCUAGAGAUGUGAUACCAACCAAGCGCAGCACUGCCGAUUUGCCAUGUUGUGACCGUUGUCAGUGGACAUCACG
rnacentral:lncRNA from 1 species